rnacentral:misc_RNA from 1 species
UCACCCCUCAAGCCCGGCUUGUUGUUGGUGGUGGCGCGGCCCCCUCCCGGGCCGCCGCCCCGCCCAAAGAUAAUGACGGCGUCUGUGAGGACUCCUGUACACUGAGCUUUCGGGCACGUACAUGGUUAGGAAUUCAGACGCCGGUCGCCGCCUUCCCCCCGGGGGAGGCACACCUUUCAUACCAA